CUCUACAGGGAUGUCAUGCAGGAGAACUAUGAGACUGUGACCUCCCUGGGGAUUCCAGUUUCCAAACCUGAUGUGAUCUCCCAGCUGGAACGAGGGGUAGAGCCGUGGGUCACAGACCUUCAGGGCUCUGAGAAACAAGUGCUUCCAAGAGCUGCCUGCACAGGUGAUGGGCUGGUGAGUGAGAAUGAGGAGGAGAAACCCCAGCAGGAAGAUGCUGAGCAA